rnacentral:misc_RNA from 1 species
AACGCACCUUGCACCCUCUGGUAUUCCGGAGGGUAUGCCUGUCUGAGUGUCAUGACAACCUCAACCCAACCGGGUCUUCCGUGUGGGGUUGGAUAUGGGCGUCUGCCGUCCUUAACAAACGGCUCGCCUUAAAAGUCUCAGUGGGACCGACCCUUUGUGUCGACGUGUUAAGUCUUCGUCGUCUUCUGGGCCCGGGCCUGCUCAUAACCCGCCUUUCUUGGGCAAUAACUCUUGACUUUGACCUCAGAUCAGGUAGGACUACCCGCUGAACUUAA